rnacentral:rRNA from 1 species
GGCUUGUAUGAAGGAACAUACGUGAGUACGACUGUUUCACUUUUAUAUCUAAAAAUUAUCACUUAGGUGAAGAGACCUAAUUCCAAUAGAAAGACAAAAAGACCCUAUUGAGCUUUACUUUAAGCCUAUUCAAACGAGAUCUACUCAAUCUUCUUCUAUAUGCCUAGGUUCUGUUGGGGCGACAAAAGAAGACCUAAAUCUUCUUUAUUUAAUGAGGUAAUAAACCUAAUAAUGAUCCGGAACCCCCGAUUAAAAGAUUCAGCUACCAUAGGGAUAACAGGCUAAUUCUUUCCGAGAGCC